UGGAGACGUCGAGUCCCAUAACAAAUAAAUUAUUUGAAAUGACUUCAAAUAAUGAAUAAAGACUAUUAUAACGCUGCUGUGUAGAGGUAUCUUGCAACUUGGUGGAAUUCUGAUGCAAGGUCGUCGUUAUUAUCAUAUCUAGAGAAGCCUGAGCUUUAGUCGCUGUGCGUCGCUUGAAGAGCUCUAACAGAUUGAGCAAGAGGAGACACGGAGAACGUAUAUGACACGACAAGAAGUGGAAUAUGAAACAAUAAAAAAACAAGAGAGAGAAAAACCCAGGGAAUAAAACAAAUAUG